CAGUAGGGAGGAAGGUAGUGUAGGUUAACAACCUGUCACUAUUUGACGUUACCUACACGAAGAAGCACCGGCUAACUACCGUGCCAGCAGCCGCGGUAAUACGGAGGGUGCGAGCGUUAAUCGGAAUUACUGGGCGUAAAGCGCAUGCAGGCGGCCUGUUAAGUCAGAUGUGAAAGCCCGGGGCUUAACCUCGGAAUUGCAUUUUGAAACUGGCAGGCUAGAGUCUUGUAGAGGGGGGUAGGAAUUUCAGGUGUAGCGGUGAAAUGCGUAGAGAUCUGAAGGAAUACCAGUGGCGAAGGCGGCCCCCUGGACAAAGACUGACGCUCAGAUGCGAAAGCGUGGGGAGCAAACAGGAUUAGAUACCCUGGUAG
rnacentral:rRNA from 1 species